GGGGAUUUAGCUCAGCGGUAGAGCAUUUGCCUAGCAAGCUCAAGGCCCUAGGUUCAAUCCCCA
rfam:Rattus norvegicus chromosome 2, whole genome shotgun sequence.